AAUACAUGCAAGUCGAACGAAGAUGAAAGCUUGCUUUCAUCUUAGUGGCGAACGGGUGAGUAAUACAUAAACAAUCUACCGCAGAGCCUGGGAUAACUAAUGGAAACGUUAGCUAAUACCGGAUAGGUUAAGGGAAGGCAUCUUCUCUUAAUUAAAGUUGGGCUACAACACCCUGCGAUGAGUUUAUGGCGCAUUAGCUAGUUGGUGAGGUAAUGGCUCACCAAGGCGAUGAUGCGUCGCCGACCUGAGAGGGUGACCGGCCACACUGGGACUGAGACACGGCCCAGACUCCUACGGGAGGCAGCAGUAGGGAAUUUUCGGCAAUGGGCGCAAGCCUGACCGAGCAACGCCGCGUGAGUGAAGAAGGCCUUCGGGUUGUAAAGCUCUGUUGUAAGGGAAGAACACUUAAAAGAGGGAAUGCUUUUAAGCUGACGGUACCUUACCAGAAAGCCACGGCUAACUACGUGCCAGCAGCCGCGGUAAUACGUAGGUGGCGAGCGUUAUCCGGAAUUAUUGGGCGUAAAGGGUGCGUAGGCGGUUCAUUAAGUCUGUGGUGAAAGUGCGGGGCUCAACCCCGUAUGGCCAUAGAAACUGGUGAACUAAGUGCAGGAGAGGGCAGUGGAAUUCCAUGUGUAGCGGUAAAUGCGUAGAUAUAUGGAGGAACACCGGUGGCGAAGGCGGCUGCCUGGCCUGUAACUGACGCUGAGGCACGAAAGCGUGGG
rnacentral:rRNA from 1 species